GAUGAACGCUGGCGGCGUGCCUAAUACAUGCAAGUCGAGCGAACAGACGAGGAGCUUGCUCCUCUGACGUUAGCGGCGGACGGGUGAGUAACACGUGGAUAACCUACCUAUAAGACUGGGAUAACUUCGGGAAACCGGAGCUAAUACCGGAUAAUAUAUUGAACCGCAUGGUUCAAUAGCGAAAGACGGUAUUGCUGUCACUUAUAGAUGGAUCCGCGCCGCAUUAGCUAGUUGGUAAGGUAACGGCUUACCAAGGCAACGAUGCGUAGCCGACCUGAGAGGGUGAUCGGCCACACUGGAACUGAGACACGGUCCAGACUCCUACGGGAGGCAGCAGUAGGGAAUCUUCCGCAAUGGGCGAGAGCCUGACGGAGCAACGCCGCGUGAGUGAUGAAGGUCUUCGGAUCGUAAAACUCUGUUAUUAGGGAAGAACAAAUGUGUAAGUAACUAUGCACGUCUUGACGGUACCUAAUCAGAAAGCCACGGCUAACUACGUG
rnacentral:rRNA from 1 species